UGAGUUUAUGUUGCAAAAGUCAAA
rnacentral:snRNA from 1 species